UCCGGCUUACCACCGGCGGUCCCAUUAGAGUGCCCAACUAAAUGAUGGCAACUAAUGGCGAGGGUUGCGCUCGUUGCGGGACUUAACCCAACAUCUCACGACACGAGCUGAUGACAGCCAUGCAGCACCUGUCUCCGGUCCAGCCGAACUGAAGGGAUCGAUCUCUCGUUCCCGCGACCGGGAUGUCAAACCCUGGUAAGGUUCUUCGCGUUGCGUCGAAUUGAACCACAUGCUCCACCGCUUGUGCGGGCCCCCGUCAAUUCCUUUGAGUUUUAAUCUUGCGACCGUACUCCCCAGGCGGGAUGCUUAAAGCGUUAGCUGCGCCACUGACGAGUAAACCCGCCAACGGCUAGCAUCCAUCGUUUACGGCGUGGACUAC
rnacentral:misc_RNA from 1 species